ensembl:misc_RNA Y_RNA Y RNA
GGCUGGUCCGAAGGUAGUGAGUUAUCUCAACUGAUUGUUCACAGUCAGUUACAGAUCGAGCUCCUUGUUCUACCCUUUCCCACCUUCUCACUACUGCACUUUACUAGUCUUUU